rnacentral:rRNA from 1 species
GCGGUAAUACGGAGGGGGCUAGCGUUGCUCGGAAUUACUGGGCGUAAAGCGCGCGUAGGCGGCGCACCAAGUGAGGCGUGAAAUCCCCGGGCUUAACCGGGAACUGCGUUUCAUACUGGUGUGCUAGAAUCCGAGAGAGGGUAGUGGAAUUCCCAGUGUAGAGGUGAAAUUCGUAGAUAUUGGGAAGAACACCAGUGGCGAAGGCGGCUACCUGGCUCGGUAUUGACGCUGAGGUGCGAAAGCGUGGGGAGCGAACAGGAUUAGAUACCCUGGUAGUCCACGCCGUAAACGAUGGGCACUAAGCGUCCGACGGGUUCGACCCUGUUGGGUGCUGCAGUUAACGCAUUAAGUGCCCCGCCUGGGGAGUACGGUCGCAAGACUAAAACUCAAAGGAAUUGACGGGGGCCCGCACAAGCGGUGGAACAUGUGGUUUAAUUCGACGCAACGCGAAGAACCUUACCUGGGUUUGACAUCCCCGGCCGACACCAGAGAUGGUGUUUUCUCUUCGGAGACCGGGUGACAGGUGCUGCAUGGCU